UGGGGAAUAUUGCACAAUGGGCGAAAGCCUGAUGCAGCGACGCCGCGUGCGGGAUGAAGGCCUUCGGGUUGUAAACCGCUUUUGAUUGGGAGCAAGCGAGAGUGAGUGUACCUUUCGAAUAAGCACCGGCUAACUACGUGCCAGCAGCCGCGGUAAUACGUAGGGUGCAAGCGUUAUCCGGAAUUAUUGGGCGUAAAGAGCUCGUAGGCGGUUUGUCGCGUCUGGUGUGAAAGUCCAUCGCUUAACGGUGGAUCUGCGCCGGGUACGGGCAGGCUAGAGUGCGACAGGGGAGACUGGAAUUCCCGGUGUAACGGUGGAAUGUGUAGAUAUCGGGAAGAACACCAAUGGCGAAGGCAGGUCUCUGGGUCGUCACUGACGCUGAGGAGCGAAAGCGUGGGGAGCGAACAGGAUUAGAUACCCUGGUAGUCCACGCCGUAAACGGUGGAUGCUGGAUGUGGGGCCCAUUCCACGGGUUC
rnacentral:rRNA from 1 species